GUGGGGAAUUUUGGACAAUGGGGGAAACCCUGAUCCAGCUAUGCCGCGUGCGGGAUGAAGGCCUUCGGGUUGUAAACCGCUUUUGUCAGAGACGAAAAGGGACGCACGAAUAAUACGUUCCGCUGACGGUAUCUGAAGAAUAAGCACCGGCUAACUACGUGCCAGCAGCCGCGGUAAUACGUAGGGUGCAAGCGUUAAUCGGAAUUACUGGGCGUAAAGGGUGCGCAGGCGGCUGUGCAAGACAGAUGUGAAAUCCCCGGGCUUAACCUGGGAACUGCAUUUGUGACUGCACGGCUAGAGUUUGUCAGAGGAGGGUGGAAUUCCGCGUGUAGCAGUGAAAUGCGUAGAUAUGCGGAAGAACACCAAUGGCGAAGGCAGCCCUCUGGGACAUGACUGACGCUCAUGCACGAAAGCGUGGGGAGCAAACAGGAUUAGAUACCCCAGUAGUCC
rnacentral:rRNA from 1 species